GCCCUAUUGGGAUCGGACCUGGAGAGUUUCUAGUACUCUACCAGUCUCGGCUAUGGGAGGGAGAGUCAAGCAAAGGCCUGGCCAUUCCCUUCCUAGCUUGGCCAGUGGCUAGCGAGUGGAAGGCCAUCUGCUACAAGU
rnacentral:snoRNA from 1 species